AAAAACACACACUGAGUGUGUUUGGGGGUGCGUACGAUCGCACGGGAGAAGAGGCAGAAAGGGGCACAAACCCUAAUUCAAGAUAAACCUUCAAAUUGAAAGGGGAAACUGGCUCUAAUCGGAUGCAUGGACCUAGAUUCUUAAUCAUCUAGACUUUCUACACAUGAGCUCGACUCUUGACAAGCUAUAUGGGAUCUUGGAGAAGAAUGGGUUAAACGGGUCAAGUACGCAAAGAAGCUUUAAUGGACACAAAGUAAGUAAGCUUACAUCUUUUGUAGAAUAUGAAUUUGUUUUUAUGAACUAUAAAUAUGAUAAAAUCGAAAUGUGGUUUCCGACGCGAUAUGGUACAUGUCGGAAUAGAUAUAAUCGAUAAAAACCAUGAUUAAUAGUAAAAAGGGCAAAUUGGUAAUUUAGUCAUGAAUGACUAAGUUUUAAUGAGUUUUCGUUAAGGUUACCUUAUAGUGUAACUAAUAAAAGAAAUAGCGGGGUAAAAUCCGAAAUGAGUCGUAUGCGUGAAUUUGAAAUUAAAAUAUUUUGUAAACAUCAAUAUUUGGUCAGUUAGACCACACGGGCCAAAUGGUAGUAAUAAUACCAUUUGACAAAUUCGACUAAUGUUUGGUUGGCAAGUCACUUGUUCAUAGGAACGAAUAGCAAUUUGGAUAAUUGUGUCGCCAUAAAGUUUCGGCUAAUAAAGCGAGGUAUAAAAACGGGUCUAUGCGUUGACUCGAGCCAGGUACGCGACGAAACGUUUUGUUGUUGUUAAUUGUUAAUACGUAAAUCUUAUAUAUUGAUGAUAUAUGAAAGUUCGAGAUGUAAAAAUGUUUGAUUUGUCUAUAAUAAGGAUUUAUGAUAGACAAAUCAACGGGUUGAGCAAUAAUAGGUGCAAACCGGGUAAAUGGGUGCACAAUUCCAUAAGUGCUAAGCCCGGGGUUACGGGUAAAGAAACAUUAAACACACAAGCCGGUAGUCGAAGCGAGAAUGCGAGUAGAUUAAAGGAUUUGGGGACGGGUUGUCAAAUUGAGUAUUAAGUCCCAUGCAUAGGAAUGUGAUUGAAAUAGGAUUUAUUGCUUAUUAGCGAACUAACCUCGUGUAUGUGUUUAUACAGUUUAAAUCAGUUGAAGUAAUAAGUUACUAAACCAUUGUCUUGAGUAUGAAAUGAGAAUGCAGGUAUUCUUUUAACGUCGUUAUCAGGGUUAAAGAAUUUGGAAUGCACGAAUGUACACGGAAAGCUUAUUCGUGGGGAUUAGUAUGGGAAGAAGGAACGCGGACUGGCUAUUGAUUACGUAGGUCUAGUUUAGGAAUGAUGUCAUUGUAUCUAACCGAUGUAUAUGUAUGUGGUGAAUGCAGGUGGCGUGGACUUAGCAUCAUUACGAAGAAAAGAAGGUUUGAAGAUCGAGUCAAGAGCGAGGGUUGUACGGGAAGGACCAGUCAUAUAAUUUGACAAAAAAAAAUAUAGGUCUUGAAGUAUUAAUAUAAUGGGAAGUGGUAAAUUCCUUUUUAAUGAGUGUAUGAAUUUUUUUCUUGGAACCUUCCUGUAAGUAUUAUGUCCAGUAAAGAACGAAAUUUUUGGGCUCUUA